UGGGCUGACCGAGCUGUUCUCCUAGCACGUUACGCCAUCGGCCAUAUAAGAAACUGUGCAGGAUGUCGGAGGUGAUGACCUCUGCCAGCGCCAACCCCGGAGCCUUCAGCCCUGUUUUGAGCACCAGGGCCUCAGCUGGGAGCACAGAGCCCAUCAUGGGCGGCGGAGGGCUCCCCGCGGGCACCGCCGAAGGACAGCUAGGUGGACUCCGGAGAGUGGAUUCUGUAUAGUCUUUCCAAGGUACCUGGGAGCCAGCUCCACACCUCUUCAGAAACAGUUGCUAAGUCGGGAAGAUCCUGUGUGCACCGAAGUCUCCUGGAUAGCCUUAAGACCACCCCCACACCUUCAGCUCCAGAAACGACCACGUUGGAGGGGCUUUGGGCACACCUCACUCAACAGCAUAAGUCCUCAGAGCCCCCUCCCCCGCUCCCGCUGCAAUUUCAGAUGGCGCAAAGAAAAGUUCCGCAGCCCUGCAGGCUGGUGGUUUGUGUGAGUUCCCGUGUUAGGGCUCCACUGUACAGUGAAGACUUCAGGCCUUCGAAGCCCUGUGACUUGGGCGUGGAUAGCGCUGGCAGCUCAGGACUGAGAUUUGACCAGAAUCAGAUUCUAAUGCCGCUAGGAAGAGAACCCUUCCCACCACCAGCUCCCCAGAGCUAAGCUUGCCUCGCUCUUGGCAACCAUGGGAUCCUAGGUCUCUCUAAGCCCUAGUUGGAGCCAGUGGUCUGGCAUCCUCAGCCCAGCAGGCGGGAGACUAAAGCGCCAAGCCGGCCAUAGGAAGUCUUCCGAAGCAGAACCUCUGGAGCCCAGUGGAGAGUGGGUGUACCGGGCAGGGAGAGGGACCAACGGGCAGGGCGCCAGCAGAGGGCAGCGCUGCAGAGGAGCAAGGGCUGCCGGCGGGUAAGAGUUCCUUGCGGAUGCCGCCGGUGAGUUAAAUCCUUUCGCGGAGGGGUCCAGUCUGGAGGGGAGUAUGGAAUCCAAUGGCUCGGUGGCAAGAGAACCUCACCGGCGCCUGGAUCUAAGUGGAGAGGAGACUGAGCUGGGCAGAAGAAUGCCAGGACUGAGGCACUCAGCCUCCAACCCCGAAGCGCUCAGGACUGGGACACUCAGCCUCCAACCUCAGCGCUUGUGACAGACUAAAGGGAACGGAAGACAGCGGUGCAUCCUGGGGACAGCCCUUCUCUUCUCCGGGCCUCUGGGCUCCUGCCUGACAGUGGUUUGAGUUGGACUAUGUGUGUGCUGUCUUCCCAGCCUGUCGCUCUUCGGAUCGGAUCAUUUGGCUUUCCCCGGCGCAGAGCAGGGUUCUUAACAAUCCCCUCGCUACACGGUACUGUGAAAUUCUCCCAAGUUCCAGAGUCCUUCAGGCCUGGGGCGAAUUUUCGUUUCAAUCCCAAGAUCGAAGUCAAAAGACAGAAGGACCGAAGGCUCUGGCUGAGACCAGGACCCCCUCAUUACUUUCCUCAGGUCACCCAAAACCUGGGGAGAGUAUGCUGGAGGAGCCUAAACAGCCUUCUAGCUGGGGUGCCCACGGACCUGGAAUGUAGUUUGCCGAGCUCUCAUUUUGAGCUUCUGGCCUAGUGAUAGUCCCACCUGGCCCUAUGCACCCUCAGAUCAAGCCCUGUAAAGAGGACUGCCCACCAGGAUCGAACAGUAAGGCCCUUGAGUGCGCAUCUGUUUGAGUGGAGACUUCUAGAGGAAAUGCUGCGGGUUCACAGUAAAGGAACCACUGUCUCUGGGACCCAGGCGCCGAGUGUGCCUGCGCGAAGACCCCUCCCAUGGACCCGACUGGGUCGGAGCUGCAAGGCACCGCCCCCGCCCCCUUGAUCGCGCCCGCGGGCUGUCGCUCGGCGAUCUCUUUAAUAUUCAUGGGCGUUAAUAGAGAGGCCCCCAGUAUAUCGGCCCAUUGUGGGCGGCUCGUAGGGCUUGAAUAGACCCCGGCCCUCUUUCUUCGCAGAGGCUUCCCGAGGGGCCGGGCCAGGAGUGAAUGGCCCCUCUUCCCGCUCCUCACCCACCCCCACCCCCUUUUCAGGGACAACAUCUUUAUCCACGCUGCUGCUGCCGCCGCCGCCGCCGCCCGAGCCCCAUUCACUCGGCCCGGACUCUGGGCGGAACGAAUCAAUCGGCUGCGGCUCUUCGGAGGUCAUCUCCGCCGCCCGUGCCCCAUCCCCCAGCCCACGGGAGUGGGGACAAGGGAGGCAGCGGCCGGCCGACAGACCCACCAGCGAAGGGACCCCGAGUGGGAUGUAGAAGGACAGUACAGGAUAGGGUGGUGAUCGGAUGGGAACGAUCAGAAAGUGGCUGAGCCAAAGAACACCAAGAGGGUCUCAGGACCCCGCCUCGGCCAGGCACGGCUAAUUCCAACUUGUUGCCUCUGGCAGGGAGCCCAAGGGACCAGGGCGGUAGUGCGAGCCCGGAGAUGAGUCCUGCGUCCCUUCCAGUCGUCAGCGUGCAUCCCUUCGGGCCCGCGUCAGCAACCUCGAGACCGGGAGCGCAGGGAACAGUUGGAGGCUCUGGUCCAGCCCUCAGGGCACGUCGGUUUCUUUCAGUGCGAAUGGGCUUUGCUCCUUGAUGACCACGUUGGGCCAUCGGGACCGCGGCAGCGUAGACCAAAUUCCAACCCUUAAGCCAGAGCCUGUCGUCCCCAGCCUCAGUGCCCAGGGCGCGAGUCGGUCAGGCAGGGCCAACUCGAUGGGUCCCCGCCCCUCCCGUCCCCGAGGCGCUAGGAGAAAAGAAGCCCAUUGUCCGCCAAGAAAUACAUUUUGGGGCCCCGAAGAGAAAGCUCCUGUUUUGAACUUUAGAAGAAAGUCUCCUGCCCUUGCCCCUCACAGGGAGAGAUUUGUCGUCCCACCAUCUCCAGGGCCUCAGAGCGCCGCCUCCUCCCGAAACAUCUGCCGGGGGAAAAUCCACCCUGGAGGGCAGAUCGUGCUGGCUUUAAGCCCCGAGAACUCAUUAAAAAGAUAUUAGCGGCGGGGGCAGGUCCCGCGCAGGUAUCGAUCGACCGGAAUGAGCCCGAGCGGGACUGGGGGCUGGGGGCUGGGGUGCGGGAACAAGAAAGCAAAGAAUGCGGCGGAUCUGUGUCCGGAACCCCCACCUAGGCUCAGUCUCGUACACCCCAGCCCUGCGCUGCCAAGCCUCCUGCGGCUCCCAGGACGCCCCCAGCCAUCCUGGCCUCGCCGGCUCCUUCCAGCUCCUUGCCAUUGCCUGGGGCUACAGACACUCCCCCACUCCGCCCAGCUUUAAGGCUUCGCCCGGGCUUCCUGCUGGCUGUGCGCCUCUGUCUCGCACUGAGCUCCCGCCUUUCUGAAACCCUAUAGGCUUUCACCACCCCCAAACCCGGUUCUCUCUUAGGCAACAAUUCUACCUCCUCUCCAUUCCAAACGUGGCUCAGGAAAUGCUCUUUUUAUAGGGCCCAGGUGUACCCCCGCUUCCCGGUUCCGGUAGCUCCAGGGCGCCCCCGCGGGCGCGGACAAAGGCGCAACGGGCUGCCUAAACCGAAUGGAAAUUCUUGCGGGCCCGGGCCCGUCUUCAACAGACGUGACUAAAUCAAGCCGCUGAGAGUGGGCUGUGGCUAGGAGAAGGGAGAUGUUGGUCUCCCUGUUAGCCCCAUCUCCACCCUAACUAACCUCUGAGACCAGUGGGAGACAAAGGCGCGCGCCGUUCACUCACGUCGAGCCCCGAGCUGGCGCCUGGGCAGACAGGUGACCUGGGACUAGAGUUUCCCCGCGUCCCGAGCUAGAUGGUUCUUCCUAGGGCGUUCCGACCCCCAUACCCGUACCCCAAUACCCAUGGCCCAGCCCUCUUUGGCCACCAUCCUGGCAGUCCACUGGAAAGACUCUGGAGGAGGCUGGGGACCAGGAGAAGCAAUGACGGAUUGACCCAGGCUUAUGGAGGCAGAGGGCGCAGAAGUGGGGAGAGAGACUGAGGUAGAGGCAGAGAUGGGAGGAUACAGGCAAAGUGAACAUCUGAGAGAUUCCGACAACAGACAGGAUGAAGGAAGCAAAGGAUUCAAAGAAAGCCAGGACUAAGACCAUCAGAAGUCAGAGGUACCGCUGAGAAGUAGGGACUUCAGACACAAAAUGGGGAUACUGGCUAAAGGAUGCUACAGGAAAGAGGCAGAGAAGGAAAGAGGAAGGGGGAGACUGGAUGCCCUGGAGUCAAGGUGGCAGCCAUCAAGAGGCACCAAGGACCCCUUCCCAACCUACUCACACCCCUUUUCUCCCAGAGUCCCUUUUCCAUACCCGCCCCCUGCAACCUCCAUCGCCUCAACCUUCCUGGUUUGUUUGUUUGUUUGUUUGUUUGUUUGAUUUUCCAAGUAGCUUCCCUAAAGGGCUUCCAGUUUCUAGCCCAGCCUCCCUGUGGUCGCGGUAACCCACCCCAUCAGAGCAAAAGGCCAGGGAGGAGGAACUGCCUGUGUCCUUACCAUCUGCCUCACCUGCUCCCUGGUGAAUGAGGGAGGUCUCGGGUUCCUUCUUUUUUUGUGUCAGGUCCUGGACAGCUUGGAGCUUCCAGGGCAGAACCAGCCCUUGAUCUCUCAGAAUAGCUUACAGGGAGGCACACCCUGGUGAGCCUGGAGUGAUGGUAGCCUGCCUUAGCCUGGUGGUCCUGUCCCUUGCUCUUUAGGGUCUGACACAUACUAGGUGCCAUGUCUAUGGAUGGCAGAUGGCUCUGUUUGUCAUGUUGGUGGCUUCUUGACUUAAUCCACAGAUUGAAAACAAGGCUCUAGCUACACAGUGGACAUUGAAGCGAUGCCCCGAGCAUUCUCCUAACACUGCUUUCCUCCCCAGGGAUGCUUUGGGGACCUAGGGGGAAAUGCCCAGGGUUUCAGGUGUGCAUCCAAGCCAGGCUCUUGCAGAUUCUACCAAGAAAAGAACCGAGGCAGCCACUUCCCUUGUCUGUGUCUGCAUCUGCAGACUGGGAAUAAGGAAAGAACCUCUACCUGAAGAUGGAAACCAACCAGUAAGUAAGGAGAGGUCAGAAUGAAAACAAGCAGAACAGGAGUCUAAGCAGCAUUUGCUAAGCACUGGUACUGUUUUCAGCAUGUGACUCAUCUCAAGCCACCCUCACCCCAUCACACCAAUGUAACUGAUGGCUGUGGCAAGGCACAGAAGACGAUGUAUUUCUGGAGUGUUCCAUAUAUGGAAAAUAUCAUCAACUGUGUUACACUAAGACAACCACAAUUACAAAUCCUGGCAAGCCUGACAAUUUGAGUUCGAUCCCUGGGGUGCACAUGGUGUAAGGAGAGGACUGACUCCCUUGAGUUGUCCUUUGAUAUACACUCAUACACAAACACACAAAAUAAACAUUUUAUUUAAAAAAUA
ensembl:antisense